ensembl:lncRNA
UUUCAGUGAGGAGGACUCUGAAGAGCGGCCUCGGUGUGGAGGUGGUUCAGGCUCUGGGGCUCAACAACAAGACGGCAGGAGACCGAGUCUGAGCUGCGACUGCAGCUGAUCGAUAAAUCGGCGAACUAUUGAUUACAGAGACUGAACCCAGACCAGCUGAGCGGCUCCAGCAGACAUCGGGAGACGUGCGCUCUGCGUUUGGAGACUCUUCCACCGGCACAUCUGCCGCAGCUGUUCAGACACUUUGAUGUAGAAAUAGUUGUGAGAAGAAUUCUUCUCGCGUGACAGAUUUUUACUGGUUUCCUGCAGCUUUGAAACUCACGAGGAAAUCUGGAUGCAGACCUGCGGUCUUACGGAGAAAUGAGUUUAAGGUGGAUUCGCUGUCAGGUGUCCGUCCAGAACUGAAAGUGUGAGAGUCGGAUAAAUGAAAUGAGAGCAGAAGCACAGCAAAGCCUUCGACUUCUCAAACUGCUCCCAUGUUUGUUUUUGGAGUUUUAACUUGAAUCACUGCCGACUCUGAAGUGUCACUCUGUGCUGACACUGUCGGUGCGUCUCUUCCUGUCUGACUCUCGGCUCGAGCUCAUCGAGAUCUCAAAACAGAGUUUCUGGGUUUCGAACACGUGGCACGCUCGGGCACGCCACACCGGCUGUUCAGAGGCCGGGGGUUUGUUGUUUUGGGACAGCAGUUUAUGAAAGUUGUUUCUGGGUUUUUUGGUGAUUAGUUUAAAUUUAAACUUUUGGUAUUUUGUUACAUUUUUCACUGACUUUAAGAUAACUUUGGGAAGUUUCCCCAGUUUAUAAAAUCUGUGUGUUUGCUUUAAGUCGAGCAAGGCCUCUCCUACACACGUCGCUUCGUACUCAUUUUUGUUGUUUGGUCUUCUGUGUUACUGCCACCUGCUGGACUGGAGUGUUACUAUAAUCUUUGGAGCGACGUGUAAACAGACAAUCAGCGAUGUGAAGGAACAGUUUCGCUCCUUAAAUUAUAAACUUACUGGGAAUAAAAUUUCAUAGCUGUUCUUAAUAUGAACUUUCCUAAAUUUAAGUUUAAUAAGUUAAAAAAAGAAUAAGAAAGCCACAUCAGCGUGUAGUUUCUGAGCACGUCUGCAAAGCUGGAUCCAGAUUUGAUGCCGCUCGAACAGUUGGAUGAUGCGCUCAAGUCGGAACAUGACAUCAUGAGUGAAACUGGCAUGGGAGCAGUCUGAGUUUGUUUUACUGGCCACAUAUCCAAACACCCGUCCUCCAAAAUGAAAUUGAGGGAAAUAAAAGUCAUCCGGCACAUAAAACAUUUUUAAUUGGUGGGCUUUACUGCUGCUGUCAGGUGAUCCAGGCUCCAGUUCUCUGCAUUUCCAGUUUUUAUGCUAAGCUAAGCUUUAUUUUUAAUGUGCUGUCGUAUUUCACAGGAUGGACUCUUCUGUUAAAGGUUCGUCACACUGGAUGGCCUCAAAUUCUUUAUUUCACAGCCAAAAACUGUCAGCGAAGGAUCAGGAGGAGUCUGAGAGUUCAGCAGAAACAGCUGCUAAAAUUCAAUAGAAACAACAGGCUGGUGAAUAUGUUUAACUUAUGGAAGUGUGUGAAAUAUCCUCACGUUUGGCUCAUUAACUGGUCUGUUUUAACUUUAAAUCAGGAGACUGUGAGACUUUAGAAAAUAUCAUAAUAAAAUUACAAUUUUAAACCUGUUUUCUAAAAUAAAUGAAAGUGCGUUUGAUGGAUUUGGAGGCAAAUGUACUUCAUAGAAAGCUCAGCUGACGUAAUUAUCAAACAGCAGGGUCCAUUUAGUGGCUGUUCUGGAGCUUUUGGAAUAAUCUGAGGAAUAAGUUGCAAAUAAAAGGUCAGAUUCUUGUUAGAUUUAAAAUUUGUCAUCCUGAAGCUGAUUUGCACUCCGACCUGCACAGAGUUGAAGAGUUUGGAGAGUUUGCUGUCGCAGCGUCACAAACUUCACAAACAACACAAAGGUGUUCUGUUUAAAACUUGACAGUUGUAUAGUUUUAUUUAAAUUCAAGGAGAAGGUGGGCUCAUCAGGUCAAAACACAUGGCACAGACUGGAAGGCGUGGUCACACAGACUCGGGCACUCGUGGAGGCGUGGUCUUCAAACUAAUUAACACUCAGUUUGCAAACUUUUAAUCACACAUGUUAAAAAAAAAAAAACUCGGAUUAAAACCUAAAAUCACUAACGUGGUACAAACAUCUGUGUGUGUGUGUGUGUGUGUGUGUGUGUGUGUGUGUGUGUGUGUGUGUGUGUGUGUGUGUGUGUGUGUGUGUGUGUGAGGGAGUGAUUACAGGACUGACCGUGUGCGUUCGGUCUUGGUGUUUUUUGCACUCUGAGGUGUUUUUUUUAUGGUCGCGUUUCUUUCUGCGACUGACUUCAGGUCAGUUUGUGAAAAUCUUCUUCACAUAUGUUUUUUUUUUUUUUUUUUUUUUUCCAUUCACAAACUGAUGACGACUUUGUUUUAACUUAAAGAGCAAGACGAACAUUUUAUAGAAACAUUAAAUGGAUGGUUGAAUGUGUCGCUGG